UCUAUUCUGUAGAUGCUAAUCAAAAAGUAUUUUUCUUUUGAUAUUUUAAGUAUAUUCUAGUUCUUGGAUUCUUUUGGCAUAAUUUGUUGAUAAUAGGAAUUCUGUUGGGAAACUAUUUGAUUCUUCUAUUGAUCUUUUUGAUAAGUGUUCUUAAUUCUUCAAUUUUUGUGAAUAUUUUGUUUGUGUAAAAAUCAAAGAAUUUGAUCAUUGAAAUAGGGAGAGAGAGAGUGAAUAAAGGUGGAAGAGAUAAGUGGAGAAUGAGAAGACACCUAGAUACAAAAGUGUCACACAUGAGAACUAUCAAUAUUUCUCAACAAAUUUAGAUGUCAAACAUUGUAACAACAUUUAUCAAUCACAAGGUUUUUGAUAGUUAUUUAUUCAUUUUAAAAAAGUAAUUUGGUUCUAAGAACUGGAUAAUCUAAGCCUAGAUUGAUUACAACCCUUUUAUUUGUUGUAAACAAAAAAAAAACUACUAGUUUUCC
rnacentral:lncRNA from 1 species